AGGGAAGGAGGGAGGGAGGAAGAACACAGGAAAGUCGAACGGUAGCACAGUAAGAGCUUGCUCUUACGGGUGGCGAGUGGCGGACGGGUGAGGAAUACAUCGGAAUCUACUUUUUCGUGGGGGAUAACGUAGGGAAACUUACGCUAAUACCGCAUACGACCUACGGGUGAAAGCAGGGGAUCUUCGGACCUUGCGCGAUUGAAUGAGCCGAUGUCGGAUUAGCUAGUUGGCGGGGUAAAGGCCCACCAAGGCGACGAUCCGUAGCUGGUCUGAGAGGAUGAUCAGCCACACUGGAACUGAGACACGGUCCAGACUCCUACGGGAGGCAGCAGUGGGGAAUAUUGGACAAUGGGCGCAAGCCUGAUCCAGCCAUACCGCGUGGGUGAAGAAGGCCUUCGGGUUGUAAAUCCCUUUUGUUGGGAAAGAAAAGCAGCAGGUUAAUACCCCGCUGUUCUGACGGUACCCAAAGAAUAAGCACCGGCUAACUUCGUC
rnacentral:rRNA from 1 species